GGCUGCUCACAGCCCCAUCCAGCCUGGCUUGGACACUGCCAGCAAUGGGACACCCACAGCUUCUCUGCACAACCUGUGCUAAGGCCUCGCCCCCCUCACAGGGAAGAAUUUAUUCCCAAUAUCCAGCCUAAGUCCAUCUGUUAACAAGUAUGCUGGAGUCCAGCUGAAAGCCAAGCCCAGGAGGCAGACCAGAGCACACUGAGGUGCAAAGGCAGGCACUGCUGGCAUGCACAGCCUCCCAGUGCCCCCAGCCAGCUGCUGGGCAUCAGCUCUCUGCCACUCUGGGCACUGGCAGACACUGGUGUCAUCACCUGGAAAGCAGAAGGCACAGCACAGCAACCAGCUCAGCCCGGGGCUGCAGGGGGAAGCAGGGCCAUGGAUGAUUAGUGACUGAUGCCCUGAGGAUGUCUCACCACUAAACCCACGUAACUCUUGCACAAACCAAGGCUGCAUUCCUACCCCGUGCUCCAGCCCUUCCCUCCCUGGGUUCAGACCUGUUGGAGCCCAGCUUUACCAUGUCACACAGAGGGAAGGUCAUGUGGCUGCAAAUCCCAUUUGCACAAAGUAAACAGUUUAACCCAGGCUUUGGAUUUGCUCAUCAGACACGAUGAAGGGAUGACAAACUUUGGCAGCACAUUGGCAUUUUCAGUCUCACCUGACAUAACAGAGGAACUACCUCUCCCUGCCAACAUCUCCACUCCCACAGCUCCCACCAAUCUCAAUUACACCCCACUCUCUCUCGUGGCUGCAGAACACCAGUGACCAUGUCCUGCCCCACCACAUGCAAGCGCAACCCCAGAACAGCACGGACACACAUCCACAUCCCUCGGUGCCCUGGAGUGAGACACAACAGCUCUGGGGAUGAUGCUCACUGAGCACACGGAGAAACUCAGCCACCUGAACAACCUCAAAUUUGAAGUGCUUGGAGAGGGAAGUGUCAGAAUUGUGCAAACAACAUGAUGGGGCUGAGGGAAGACAGUGAAAUGUCUGAUCCUGGGAAAAGGACUGGCUUUGCUUCACUCUAAGAUGUAAGCAAAUCACAGAACGAUCUACAGGAAGCAGUCAGCAAAAGAUUCAAGGAUGUAAAAUAAUUCAUACCUGUCAAAGCAUUUAGAAAAUAAAAUUGCCCUUUUCAAAGUUUUCUAAAAAAUGAGUUUAUUAGUGUUAUUAAACCAAGACUUCUGUAAAUCAUGACAUUCCAAUAAAAGUGAUCACUACACUACUAUCACUGUUGACUAAUAAUGUAGAACAGCUG